rnacentral:lncRNA from 1 species
UCCAAUUCACCCCUCUUUGAUUCCUCGAUCGACUCCACUCCCCUCUUCACCACAUCUAUAACCGGCUCAAAAUGAAUUGUUUCAUUCGAAACCAAACUCAAACCAGUAUCCUCCUUUCCAUUACCACUGUCCACCUUCAAAACCACCAAUGGCGAAUCAGGCUCCAUCACCAAUUUCUUAGUUGUCCUCGCUGCUGCUGCUUUCUUAACAGCCAGUUCCUUCUUCGCAGGCUUCCCGUUAACUUUCUCAUUCUCUUCACCUUCAUUAACAUCAACUUUACC